rnacentral:rRNA from 1 species
GACGAACGCUGGCGGCGUGCUUAACACAUGCAAGUCGAACGGAAAGGCCCUGCUUGCAGGGUACUCGAGUGGCGAACGGGUGAGUAACACGUGGGUGAUCUGCCCUGCACUUCGGGAUAAGCCUGGGAAACUGGGUCUAAUACCGGAUAGGAGCCAUUUUUAGUGUGAUGGUUGGAAAGUUUUUUCGGUGUAGGAUGAGCUCGCGGCCUAUCAGCUUGUUGGUGGGGUAAUGGCCUACCAAGGCGGCGACGGGUAGCCGGCCUGCGAGGGUGGACGGCCACAUUGGGACUGAGAUACGGCCCAGACUCCUACGGGAGGCAGCAGUGGGGAAUAUUGCACAAUGGGCGCAAGCCUGAUGCAGCGACGCCGCGGGGGGGAUGACGGCCUUCGGGUUGUAAACUCCUUUCGCUAGGGACGAAGCUUUUUGUGACGGUACCUAGAGAAGAAGCACCGGCUAACUACGUG